rnacentral:snRNA from 1 species
GGAUGUGAGGGCGAUCUGGCUGCGACAUCUGUCACCCCAUUGAUCGCCAGGGUUGAUUCGGCUGAUCUGGCUGGCUAGGCGGGUGUCCCCUUCCUCCCUCACCGCUCCAUGUGCGUCCCUCCCGAAGCUGCGCGCUCGGUCGAAGAGGACGACCAUCCCCGAUAGAGGAGGACCGGUCUUCGGUCAAGGGUAUACGAGUAGCUGCGCUCCCCUGCUAGAACCUCCAAAGUUAAUGAUGGAUGAUGACAAACAUUCACUCACACUUCGCGUAGACGUCCCGACAGGACACGCCUGUGAUC